ACCUCCUCCUGUUGUCUAGCCGCUCCCGUGUUAAGUAGUGGUGCCGCAGGUACAAGCUAUACUCGAGUCUACCGGCGCAUCUCUACUUUACUCGGGGUUUGGCCUCGGUUAAUGAUAACGAC
rnacentral:precursor_RNA from 10 species